UGCACCAGUUUGCACUCCCACCAGCAGUGUAUGAGGGUCCCUUCUCUUCCACAUCCUCUCCAACACUUAUUGUUUCCUACCUUGUUAAUUAUGGCCAUUCUGAUGGGAGUGAGGUGAUAUUUCAUUGUAGUUUUGAUUUGUAUUUCCCUGAUAGUUAAUGAUGUUGAAUAUCUUUUCAUAUGGCUGUUGGCCAUCUGUAUACCUUCUUUGGAGAAAUGUCUGUUCAGAUCAUUUUUUAAUUGGGUUGUUAGGGUUUUUUUGUUAAGACGUAUGAGUUCUUUGUAUAUUUUAGAUGUUAACCCCUUAUCAGAUAUACGGUUUGCAAAUAUCUUCUCCCAAUUGUUAGGUUGUCUUUUUGUCCUGUUGAUGGUCUCCAUUGCUGUGCAGAGCUUUUUAUUUUUAUGUAGUCCCAUUGUUUAUUUUUUCUUUUGUUUCCCUUGCCCAAUCAGACACGGUACUUGAAAAUAUGCUGCUCAGACUGAUGUCAAAGAGUGUACUGCUGAUGUUUUCUUCUAGAAGUUUCAUGGUUUCAGGUCUUACAUUCAGAGCAUGGAGACUGACAUCAGCAUCAUGGUGGAGUGUGCUUGCCUGGUGAACUCUCCCUUCCAGGAUACAACAAAAAGGACAUUCAUAUUCCAACAUAGGACAUCCACACAACACAAAAGAUGUCUGAGAGACCCAUGCAGCCAUACAUCAGAAAGUGGAGGUGCUGGAGCCCUCCCUUGGAGGAGGUGGAAAGAGGUUUAAUUUCAAUUUCACUCAGCGCUAUUGCAACUGCCCUGUUUAUCAUGACGGCAACCAGAGAACCUGGCAAAUCAAAUGUCAACAUCCCUUGGUUCUGUAUAUUCAAAUAAAAUAUUGAUAAGAAUGUUUCAGCAAUUGUGUACCUUUCAAUAGAAGCCUACUCAUGUUGCUGUUCAAAGUCAAGUCCAAACUGACUUUUGAAGAAGUAGUUUCCAGGUCUAAAACAGCUGUCAAUGGUGACGAUCAAACGUAUUUUAUGGGAUAAACUAAAACGAUCUGGAAGUUCCUCCAAUGUCCGUUCCCGGGAUAGUCAUUGAUUAAAUGCUUAAAUUGAUCCUAUUGUCAAGAGAUAACUCCGUCCUCUUCCUUUCUGACUUUGUGGGUUGUAAUAGGAAUUAAUGACUCUCAGUAAUUGUCAUCAAUAGGUAGUUUCUGCUUCUCCCUCACACCUACUGAAAGCCUCUGCUUCAAACUACAGAUGAGAGUUGGAAUCUUCUGGAAGGAAAUACUCAAUGAGCCCCCAAUGAAUAUAGUAAUGUCUUGAACUGUUGAAACUGUAGGGAAUGCCUUGGGACACAGGCUUCUCAGGAUCAUCUGCCACAAUUGCAUGAACACAAACAGCAGACCGAGACAUGAUUCCCUGGAUUUUAGUCCAAAUAUUAUAGUAUACUGCUCAAUCAAAAAAGACAUUUAAUUAGCUGAGACCAAAGACCAAGCAAGCUGAUUCAGUUGCAUUUAUUCUCUUAUGAGCU
rnacentral:lncRNA from 1 species